GAUGAAGAAACGCAGCGAACUGCGAUAAGUAAUGUGAAUUGCAGAAUUCAGUGAAUCAUCGAGUCUUUGAACGCACAUUGCGCCCCCUGGCAUUCCGGGGGGCAUGCCUGUCCGAGCGUCAUUGCUGCCCUUCAAGCCCGGCUUGUGUGUUGGGUCGUCGUCCCCCCCGGGGGACGGGCCCGAAAGGCAGCGGCGGCACCGCGUCCGGUCCUCGAGCGUAUGGGGCUUUGUCACCCGCUCGAUUAGGGCCGGCCGGGCGCCAGCCGGCGUCUCCAACCUUCUAUUUUACCAGGUUGACCUCGGAUCAGGUAGGGAUACCCGCUGAACUUAAGCAUAUCAAUAAGCGGAGGA
rnacentral:misc_RNA from 1 species